rnacentral:rRNA from 1 species
UACGUAGGGGGCAAGCGGUGUCCGGAUUCAUUGGGCGUAAAGCGCGUGUAGGCGGCCAGGCAGGUCUGCUGUGAAAACUCGAGGCUCAACCUCGAGACGUCGGCGGAAACCAUCUGGCUAGAGUCCGGAAGAGGAGAGUGGAAUUCCUGGUGUAGCGGUGAAAUGCGCAUAUCAGGAAGAACACCCGUGGCGAAGGCGGCUCUCUGGGACGGUACUGACGCUGAGACGCGAAAGCGUGGGGAGCGAACAGG